CCUACGGGUGGCAGCAGUAGGGAAUCUUCCGCAAUGGACGAAAGUCUGACGGAGCAACGCCGCGUGAGCGAAGAAGGUCUUCGGAUCGUAAAGCUCUGUUGUUAGGGAAGAACAAGUACGGGAGGAAAUGACCGUACCUUGACGGUACCUAACGAGGAAGCCACGGCUAACUACGUGCCAGCAGCCGCGGUAAUACGUGGGUGGCAAGCGUUGUCCGGAAUUAUUGGGCGUAAAGCGCGCGCAGGCGGUCUUUUAAGUCUGAUGUGAAAUCUUGCGGCUCAACCGCAAGCGGUCAUUGGAAACGGGGAGACGUGAGUGCAGAAGAGGAAAGCGGAAUUCCAGGUGUAGCGGUGAAAUGCGUAGAGAUGGGGAAGAACACCAGGGGCGAAGGCGGAUUUCUGGACUGUAACUGACGCUGAGGCACGAAAGCGUGGGGGGCGAACAGGAUUAGAUACCCGGGUAGUC
rnacentral:rRNA from 1 species